CUGUAGAGAGAGACCAGCUAGAGAAUAAUCUAAAUACCAGGACCACAGAGAGAGACCAGCUACAGACCAGUUACAACACCCCGACAAAGGAGAGAGACCAGCUACAGAUCAGUUACAACACCCUGACUAAAGAGAGAGACCAGCUACAGAAUAGUCUAAAUACCAGGACCACAGAGAGAGACCAGCUACAGACCAGUUACAACACCCUGACUAAAGAGAGAGACCAGCUACAGAGUAGUCUAAAUACCAGAACCACUGAAAUAGACAAGUUGAAGAAGAGUCUGAACACUACAACUAUGGAGCAUGACCAGCUACAGAAGGAGAUAGAAAGACUGAACUGGGAGAACAAAGGGUCCUGUCCUGAAGGAUGGAGAAGGUUUGGCUGCAGCUGUUACUACCUCUCUACUGAGAAGAAAUCCUGGGAGGAGAGUAGACAGGACUGUCUGGAGAGAGGAGCAGAUCUGGUGAUCAUUAACAGUGAAGAGGAACAGACAUUCAUCAAUGGGUUUAAAUCAGUCAGUUAUGUCUGGAUUGGUCUGACUGACUCUGUUACUGAGGGGACCUGGAAAUGGGUGGACGGCACCCCACUGACCACAGCAAGGUAAGAGACUACUGCUCUAUAAUAACACUGAC